UACGAAGGGUGCAAGCGUUACUCGGAAUUACUGGGCGUAAAGCGUGCGUAGGUGGUUUGUUAAGUCUGAUGUGAAAGCCCUGGGCUCAACCUGGGAAUUGCAUUGGAUACUGGCAGGCUAGAGUGCGGUAGAGGGUAGUGGAAUUCCCGGUGUAGCAGUGAAAUGCGUAGAGAUCGGGAGGAACAUCCGUGGCGAAGGCGACUACCUGGACCAGCACUGACACUGAGGCACGAAAGCUAGGGGAGCAAACAGG
rnacentral:rRNA from 1 species